CCUACGGGAGGCUGCAGUGGGGAAUAUUGCACAAUGGGGGAAACCCUGAUGCAGCGACGCCGCGUGAGUGAAGAAGUAUUUCGGUACGUAAAGCUCUAUCAGCAGGGAAGAAAAUGACGGUACCUGACUAAGAAGCCCCGGAUAACUACGUGCCAGCAGCCGCGGUAAUGCGUAGGGUGCAAGCGUUAUCCGGAUUUACUGAGUGUAAAGGGAGCGUAGACGGCAGCGCAAGUCUGGAGUGAAAUCCCAUGGCUUAACCAUGGAACUGCUGUGGAAACUGUGCAGCUAGAGUGCAGUAGAGGUAAGCGGAAUUCGUAGUGUAGCGGUGAAAUGCGUAGAUAUUAGGAGGAACACCAGUGGCGAAGGCAGCUUACUGGACUGUAACUGACGUUGAGGCUCGAAAGCGUGGGGAGCAAACAGGAUUAGAUACCCCUGUAGUC
rnacentral:rRNA from 1 species